rnacentral:rRNA from 1 species
UUAAAUUGAAGAGUUUGAUCAUGGCUCAGAUUGAACGCUGGCGGCAGGCCUAACACAUGCAAGUCGAACGGUAACAGAAAGCAGCUUGCUGCUUUGCUGACGAGUGGCGGACGGGUGAGUAAUGUCUGGGAAACUGCCUGAUGGAGGGGGAUAACUACUGGAAACGGUAGCUAAUACCGCAUAACGUCGCAAGACCAAAGAGGGGGACCUUCAGGCCUCUUGCCAUCGGAUGUGCCCAGAUGGGAUUAGCUAGUAGGUGGGGUAAAGGCUCACCUAGGCGACGAUCCCUAGCUGGUCUGAGAGGAUGACCAGCCACACUGGAACUGAGACACGGUCCAGACUCCUACGGGAGGCAGCAGUGGGGAAUAUUGCACAAUGGGCGCAAGCCUGAUGCAGCCAUGCCGCGUGUAUGAAGAAGGCCUUCGGGUUGUAAAGUACUUUCAGCGGGGAGGAAGGGAGUAAAGUUAAUACCUUUGCUCAUUGACGUUACCCGCAGAAGAAGCACCGGCUAACUCCGUGCCAGCAGCCGCGGUAAUACGGAGGGUGCAAGCGUUAAUCGGAAUUACUGGGCGUAAAGCGCACGCAGGCGGUUUGUUAAGUCAGAUGUGAAAUCCCCGGGCUCAACCUGGGAACUGCAUCUGAUACUGGCAAGCUUGAGUCUCGUAGAGGGGGGUAGAAUUCCAGGUGUAGCGGUGAAAUGCGUAGAGAUCUGGAGGAAUACCGGUGGCGAAGGCGGCCCCCUGGACGAAGACUGACGCUCAGGUGCGAAAGCGUGGGGAGCAAACAGGAUUAGAUACCCUGGUAGUCCACGCCGUAAACGAUGUCGACUUGGAGGUUGUGCCCUUGAGGCGUGGCUUCCGGAGCUAACGCGUUAAGUCGACCGCCUGGGGAGUACGGCCGCAAGGUUAAAACUCAAAUGAAUUGACGGGGGCCCGCACAAGCGGUGGAGCAUGUGGUUUAAUUCGAUGCAACGCGAAGAACCUUACCUGGUCUUGACAUCCACGGAAGUUUUCAGAGAUGAGAAUGUGCCUUCGGGAACCGUGAGACAGGUGCUGCAUGGCUGUCGUCAGCUCGUGUUGUGAAAUGUUGGGUUAAGUCCCGCAACGAGCGCAACCCUUAUCCUUUGUUGCCAGCGGUCCGGCCGGGAACUCAAAGGAGACUGCCAGUGAUAAACUGGAGGAAGGUGGGGAUGACGUCAAGUCAUCAUGGCCCUUACGACCAGGGCUACACACGUGCUACAAUGGCGCAUACAAAGAGAAGCGACCUCGCGAGAGCAAGCGGACCUCAUAAAGUGCGUCGUAGUCCGGAUUGGAGUCUGCAACUCGACUCCAUGAAGUCGGAAUCGCUAGUAAUCGUGGAUCAGAAUGCCACGGUGAAUACGUUCCCGGGCCUUGUACACACCGCCCGUCACACCAUGGGAGUGGGUUGCAAAAGAAGUAGGUAGCUUAACCUUCGGGAGGGCGCUUACCACUUUGUGAUUCAUGACUGGGGUGAAGUCGUAACAAGGUAACCGUAGGGGAACCUGCGGUUGGAUCACCUCCUUACCUUAAAGAAGC